rnacentral:rRNA from 1 species
GACGAACGCUGGCGGCGUGCUUAACACAUGCAAGUCGAACGGAAAGGCCCUGCUUUUGUGGGGUGCUAGAGUGGCGAACGGGUGAGUAACACGUGAGUAACCUGCCCUUGACUUUGGGAUAACGUCAGGAAACUGGGGCUAAUACCGGAUAGGAGCUCCUGCUGCAUGGUGGGGGUUGGAAAGUUUUGGCGGUUGGGGAUGGACUCGCGGCUUAUCAGCUUGUUGGUGGGGUAGUGGCUUACCAAGGCUUUGACGGGUAGCCGGCAGGAGAGGGUGACCGGCUACAUGAGUACAGAGGUGCAGCCCAGGGUACUACGGAAGGCAGCAGUGGGGAAUAUUACACAAUGGGCGGAAUCCUGAUGCAGCAACGCCGCGUGCGGGAUGACGGCCUGCGGGUUGUAAACCGCGUUCGCCUGUGACGAAGCGUGAGUGACAGUAAUGGGUAAAGAAGCACCGGCUAACUACGUG